rnacentral:rRNA from 1 species
GUGGGGAAUUUUGGACAAUGGGCGCAAGCCUGAUCCAGCAAUGCCGCGUGCAGGAAGAAGGCCUUCGGGUUGUAAACUGCUUUUGUACGGAACGAAACGGUCCUGGUUAAUACCUGGGGCUAAUGACGGUACCGUAAGAAUAAGCACCGGCUAACUACGUGCCAGCAGCAGCGGUAAUACGUAGGGUGCGAGCGUUAAUCGGAAUUACUGGGCGUAAAGCGUGCGCAGGCGGUGCUGUAAGACAGGCGUGAAAUCCCCGGGCUCAACCUGGGAAUUGCGCUUGUGACUGCAGUGCUGGAGUACGGCAGAGGGGGAUGGAAUUCCGCGUGUAGCAGUGAAAUGCGUAGAUAUGCGGAGGAACACCGAUGGCGAAGGCAGUCCCCUGGGCCUGUACUGACGCUCAUGCACGAAAGCGUGGGGAGCAAACAGGAUUAGAUACCCGGGUAGUCC